UAUUGGGUAUACCCAGUGGUGGGAUUCAAAUAUUUUAACAACAGGUUCUCUCACUAGCAGCAUGCCAUAUUGACCCGAUAGAGACCAAA